rnacentral:rRNA from 1 species
UUAUUUAAGAGUUUGAUCCUGGCUCAGGAUGAACGCUGGCGGCGUGCCUAACACAUGCAAGUCGAGCGGAGUUAUUUUCAGGAAGCCUUCGGGUGGAAUGAUUUUAAUUUAGCGGCGGACGGGUGAGUAACGCGUGGGCAACCUACCCUGUACAGGGGAAUAACAAUGGGAAACCAUUGCUAAUACCCCAUAAUACCUUUUAGGGGCAUCCCUAAAAGGUCAAAGAAUUUCGGUAUAGGAUGGGCCCGCGUCUGAUUAGCUAGUUGGUGAGGUAAUGGCUCACCAAGGCGACGAUCAGUAGCCGGCCUGAGAGGGUGAACGGCCACACUGGAACUGAGACACGGUCCAGACUCCUACGGGAGGCAGCAGUGGGGAAUAUUGCACAAUGGGGGAAACCCUGAUGCAGCAACGCCGCGUGAGCGAUGAAGGCUUUCGGGUCGUAAAGCUCUGUCCUAAGGGAAGAUAAUGACGGUACCUUAGGAGGAAGCCCCGGCUAACUA